rnacentral:lncRNA from 1 species
UUUGCAGAAUUGGAGGGUGGGAGUGGGGUUAGUUGAGGUUUCUGGGAAGCAAAGAAUCUUAAUGAGAUCCUGGCCAUCUCAAGAUUAACAGUUACGACAGUGUGCUUGGUUAGCCAGGGUGGCCCUAGCUAAGGUCUGUUGGCAGGAAGGAGCACCAAGAAUUUCAAGGUGUCCUCCACAAGAAAGCCGAUGACUCAAGUU